GGCUAGCCCUGAUGGUAGUGGCAUCCUUUGCUGCCGUGGUUCGGCGGGAAAGAUAUAACGAACAGCAGGAGGAUUC
rnacentral:sRNA from 1 species